UCCCACACACACACAGGCAUGAUUACCCCCAUUUUACAGAUAAAGGAAGUGACACUUAAAAGAUUAAGUGAUCUAAUCAUGGUCAUAGAACUAGGGAUAGCGGUAGCAUUUGAACUUGAGGCUGUCCUUGUCACCCAUUCAACAUUCUUUCCACUGCAGCAGAAAGAAUUAUUUUUCCCCUUUUGAGGGUUAAAUUAAGGAGUUCGACAAAGUGAGGAGAGCAGUUUAACCGUAACUUUGUUGAUUUAAGAAAGAAGUACAGAUAGAAAAGAGAACAGGGAGGUUAUUAAUUGUAUACUCUAUAAAUAUACCUAAAAUUCCUAAUACUGCUUAAAAUUUCCUAAAACUACCUCUGUCUUCUGAGAGGCAUUUCUUCUGCCUGGCGUGCCAGGCCCAUCUUAAUCUACUCUGUCUAUAAAUUAUUCACUGGCUACCUAACUCCCUAAAAUAAUAGGGAUAAAAUAACAGUUGUGCCUAGCAGCUCAAUGGCCUGUAGCCAACUGCCAGCAGAUCCUUGCCUCCGAGGCAGACCUCCUGCUCUCUAGAGAUCCCAGAGGCAAAGGACCUCAACUAUCAGUGGCUGCUUCCAUUCUCCCCUCACUGACCAACUGUCCCCCCUAACUUCCUAUCAGAAGGCUGGCUACUUCCUCCCCUCAGCCCUGGUCUCGCUGGCAAGGGAAUCUUCCACUGUGGCUCACUGACUCCGGCCAGUUCUGAUCUACUUAGAAGUGCUGCUCUCUAAGCCUCUCAAGGAGCCAGAGGGAGAGCUUAAGAGCAUCCCUUUAACACCGUCAGACAUUCUUAAGUCGCUUUGUUGAUACUCAUUUCUGUGAGAUCAUUCAUUAGAAAUCACGACGUUUAAUCAAGAUCCCUUCUCUUUGACUUUGACUUCCAUAGAUUUCUGAGAGGAAACAGCAGGAGGACACAAGUCUCCGAAAUGCAUCUGUACUGCUGCCUUCCUGGCUGUGGCUUUCAUUUUGUUUGUUGGUUUGGAAGUCAUCUGUACGUGUGUUUGAGCAGCCUCCAAUUCAGUAUUUUCAAAUAGCCCGUGAGAUUAAUAUCCUUGGGUUCUCUGAGAUAUGAUGUGAGGACUUCCAGGUGCUACAACGGAGACAUAGUUCUCCCCGUCAACCAAAAGUGACCUCCUAAGAAGCAGGCCUGUUUCUCCAGUGUUUAACGGCCAAGAUUUUGGAGCUCCCAUGAAAUGUAGAUAACAUUUGUCCUUUCUUCACUGCCAUGCCAAGCAAAUUUUCAAUGAGGAAAAUACUUUAAGUGAUUCAUCUUUAAAGUAAAUUGGAUUUUCCGUCACUAAAAGGCUCCACAAAAUGGAAA